GCUGUCACAGGGCCUCCUCCCUUGCGUCCAAAUACCCGGCCGUUGAGCGCUCGUGACGGCCGCGCAGUCGCAGAGACACAGCCUGCUUUCCACGCUUGGCAAGUACCAGCAUCUUCUCCGCACUUUGGUGUCGCUUGUUUGUCGAGCCUGCUACAGAGCGCGACUCAACUGUUCAUCUCUCUUUACUGUCCAGAAUGAAGACAUUCAGUCUCAAGACAUUAAGUAACUUGCUCCAAGAAUUAUUAAUGGAAACCCUGAAGAUCCUGUUGCCAAGCUGAGGACUCACUAUAGUGCAUCUACUCUUAGUAUCAAUGGAAAUACAAUGUAAGAAAGAGAGGGACAAUUGCCAUAAAAGGACAAGAAUCUUAAUAUCUGCUUAAGCAUUGACUAAAAUGAGCUAUGAGACAGAAAGAUAAUGAACGAAAUCAUUACUGAAUCAGUAUGGUAGAUGAAGAGUCUGAGAAGAAGAAAAGAAUAUUUUACAACCUCAUAAGAGAAAGCUAUAAAACUAGUGACUGAAUAGGUGAAUUAGACAAGAAUGCUGAGAAAUUAAAGGAAACCCCAAGAAUUA